CCCUUAGAUGUUCUGGGCUGCACGCGCGCUACACUGAAGCGUUCAACGAGUAUUCACCUUGCCCGGGAGGGUUGGGUAAUCUUCUUAAAACGCUUCGUGAUGGGGAUAGAUUAUUGCAAUUAUUAAUCUUCAACGAGGAAUUCCUAGUAAGCGCGAGUCAUCAGCUCGUGCUGAUUACGUCCCUGCCCUUUGUACACACCGCCCGUCGCUACUACCGAUUGAAUGGUUUAGUGAGAUCUCUGGAUUGACGCUGGCUAGGGGGCGACCCUUGGCCAGGCUGUCGAGAAGCUGCUCAAACUUGAUCAUUUAGAGGAAGUAAAAGUCGUAACA
rnacentral:rRNA from 1 species